CCGGUUCUCGUUAGAUCACCGAAGUCAAGCAUCAUUGGGCGCGGUCAGUACUUGGGUGGGUGACCACCUGGGAACACCGCGUGCCGUU
rnacentral:rRNA from 1 species